CAUUCCGAAGUGCGGGGUCCUUUGGGCCCACCUCCCAUCCGUGUCUAUUGUACCCUGUUGCUUCGGCGGGCCCGCCGCUUGUCGGCCGCCGGGGGGGCGCCUCUGCCCCCCGGGCCCGUGCCCGCCGGAGACCCCAACACGAACACUGUCUGAAAGCGUGCAGUCUGAGUUGAUUGAAUGCAAUCAGUUAAAACUUUCAACAAUGGAUCUCUUGGUUCCGGCAUCGAUGAAGAACGCAGCGAAAUGCGAUAACUAAUGUGAAUUGCAGAAUUCAGUGAAUCAUCGAGUCUUUGAACGCACAUUGCGCCCCCUGGUAUUCCGGGGGGCAUGCCUGUCCGAGCGUCAUUGCUGCCCUCAAGCCCGGCUUGUGUGUUGGGUCGCCGUCCCCCUCUCCGGGGGGACGGGCCCGAAAGGCAGCGGCGGCACCGCGUCCGAUCCUCGAGCGUAUGGGGCUUUGUCACAUGCUCUGUAGGAUUGGCCGGCGCCUGCCGACGUUUUCCAACCAUUCUUUCCAGGUUGACCUCGGAUCAGGUAGGGAUACCCGCUGAACUUAAGCAUAUCAAUAAGGCGGAGGAA
rnacentral:rRNA from 1 species